UACGGGGGUGGCAAGCGUUGUUCGGAAUUACUGGGCGUAAAGGGCGCGUAGGCGGUUCAUUAAGUUGGAUGUGAAAACUCUGGGCUUAACUCAGAGCCUGCAUUCAAAACUGAUGGGCUGGAGUUCUGGAGGGGAUAGCGGAAUUCCUGGUGUAGCGGUGAAAUGCGUAGAUAUCAGGAGGAACACCGGUGGCGAAGGCGGCUAUCUGGACAGAAACUGACGCUGAGGCGCGAAAGCUAGGGGAGCAAACAGG
rnacentral:rRNA from 1 species